UUGAACGCUGGCGGCAGGCCUAACACCUGCAAGUCGAGCGGAUGAAGGGAGCUUGCUCCUGGAUUCAGCGGCGGACGGGUGAGUAAUGCCUAGGAAUCUGCCUGGUAGUGGGGGAUAACGUCCGGAAACGGGCGCUAAUACCGCAUACGUCCUGAGGGAGAAAGUGGGGGAUCUUCGGACCUCACGCUAUCAGAUGAGCCUAGGUCGGAUUAGCUAGUUGGUGGGGUAAAGGCCUACCAAGGCGACGAUCCGUAACUGGUCUGAGAGGAUGAUCAGUCACACUGGAACUGAGACACGGUCCAGACUCCUACGGGAGGCAGCAGUGGGGAAUAUUGGACAAUGGGCGAAAGCCUGAUCCAGCCAUGCCGCGUGUGUGAAGAAGGUCUUCGGAUUGUAAAGCACUUUAAGUUGGGAGGAAGGGCAGUAAGUUAAUACCUUGCUGUUUUGACAUUACCAACAGAAUAAGCACCGGCUAACUUCGUG
rnacentral:rRNA from 1 species